GUGGAUUAGAUACCCUGGUAGUCCUAGCCGUAAACGGUGCACGUUUGCUGUAAAAGGAAUCGACCCCUUUUGUGGCGUAGCCAACGCGUUAAACGUGCCGCCUGGGAAGUACGGUCGCAAGAUUAAAACUCAAAGAAAUUGACGGGGGCCUGCACAAGCGGUGGAGUAUGUGGCUCAAUUCGAUGCAACGCGAAGAACCUUACCUGGCCUUGACAUGCAAGUAGUAGAAGGGUGAAAGCCUGACGAGGUAGCAAUACCAGCUUGCACAGGUGCUGCACGGCCGUCGCCAGCU
rnacentral:rRNA from 1 species